rnacentral:rRNA from 1 species
UACGUAGGGUGCGAGCGUUGUCCGGAAUUAUUGGGCGUAAAGAGCUUGUAGGCGGUUUGUCGCGUCUGCUGUGAAAACGCGAGGCUCAACCUCGCGCCUGCAGUGGGUACGGGCAGACUAGAGUGCGGUAGGGGAGAUUGGAAUUCCUGGUGUAGCGGUGGAAUGCGCAGAUAUCAGGAGGAACACCGAUGGCGAAGGCAGAUCUCUGGGCCGUAACUGACGCUGAGGAGCGAAAGCAUGGGGAGCGAACAGG